rnacentral:lncRNA from 1 species
UGACCCAGUUUUAAUCCCAGCAUGGUCUCGAGAUCCAAUCUCAUAUAAACUGGCAGCAUUUAGGUCUAUGAUCUCUAGGACCUUCACCCACAUCACUAAAUGGUCGGAUAAGGAGUCUGAGCGGCAAUACAUACAUAGGAUAGGAUAUAAGUAUGGAUAUUCUAAAAAAGUUAUAGAAGGAUUAUGGAGAAAGGCACUGCAAUCUGCAAACAACAUUGAUCUUCCAGACCAUAUGCCCCAACGAUCUAACACAACUAACUAUCUCACACUCCCUUAUGACAUGAACAUAAUUCGCACCAUAACCAAGGCUUUGAGAAAUCAAACAUCUACAAUAGUUAAAAAACGAGGCCCCACUGUUUU